rnacentral:rRNA from 1 species
AAACUUUUAACAACGGAUCUCUUGGUUCUGGCAUCGAUGAAGAACGCAGCGAAAUGCGAUAAGUAAUGUGAAUUGCAGAAUUCAGUGAAUCAUCGAAUCUUUGAACGCACAUUGCGCCCCCUGGUAUUCCGGAGGGCAUGCCUGUUCGAGCGUCAUUU